rnacentral:tRNA from 1 species
AAAGGGAGACCUAAUUCAGGUAAGAGACGAAAAAAAAGUAGUCGCUACCAAGAAUCAAUCCCAAAAGGUCGGAGCGAGGCGAAAUUGGCUUUCAAACUAGGUUCUGGGUUCAAACAAGACCUGAAUCAGGAACAAGGGCUAUUAGCUCAGGUGGUUAGAGCGCACCCCUGAUAAGGGUGAGGUCCCUGGUUCGAGCCCAGGAUGGCCCACCUGCACAGGUGGCAAAAACAAGAGAAGCGAGGAAUCAGCACCUUAUCUUACUGACAUAGUAAGAGAGAAUGCUGGCUCUGAGUAAAGAGUCCAGAGGAACCUUGAAAACUGCAUAGAGCUAGGUGAAAAAGCCAAAAAAGAAGACCGCAAG